rnacentral:RNase_P_RNA from 1 species
AGAACAGGUCGGGCGGUCGCUGCUGGAACCUUGAGUUUCUAAAUCUUAAUUUGAGAUCUCAGAUUGAGAUUUAAACUCGAAUUCAAUUGCUCAAAUCUUCAAGUUUCGGAUUAAAUCUGAGAAACGCGGGCUUGAGUCAACUCCAGGAGAGGAAAGUCCGAACACUACAGGGCAGCGAGCCCGCUAACGGCGGGGCGCCUGACAAUCUCGGAUCUGAGAUUUCAUGUGAGAUCUGAUAUCUCAAAUCUGAGAUCUGGGAUUGAUCGGGUGACGACAAGUGCAACAGAAAAUAAACCAGCCUACUGGCCUUUGAGAUCUCGAAAGGGAUUCAAUAGGAUUCGGAUUGAAGAUCUGAAAUCUGAAAACCGAGGUGAUGGGUGAAAUGGUGCGGCCCGCGAGGGCUUAAAGUAAGAGCGCACCGGCGUAUGUGGUGACACAUGCGGCCAGGCAAACUCCUCGCAGUGCAAGAUCAAAUAGGGAGGCGUCAACAGGGCUGCCCGCCCGAAUCCUGAUUACUCGGGAUACGACCUCCGGGUAGAUCGCUUGAUCCAAUCUGGCAACAGUUGGACUAGAUGAAUGAUCGCCAUCCCGAUGCGAAAUCAUCGGGAUACAGAAUUCGGCUUAUAGACCUGUUCUACUU